GGAUGUAAGGGCGAUCUGGCUGCGACAUCUGUCACCCCAUUGAUCUCCAGGGUUGAUUGGGCUGAUCUGGCUGGCUAAGCGGGUGUCCCCUUCCUCCCUCACCACUCCAUGUGCGUCCCUCCCAAAGCUGUGCUCGGUCUAAGAGGACGGCCUUCCCUGAAUAGAGAUGGACUGGUAUUCUGUCGAGGGUAUAUGACUCGCUGCUGUAGAACCUCCAAACAAGCUCUCAAGGUCCAUUAUUUAUAUUCCACAUCUGAGUGAGACCAAUCUGCUAGCUAUCUUUUAGUUCUUUAUUUAUUU
rnacentral:snRNA from 1 species